UACGAAGGGGGCUAGCGUUGUUCGGAUUUACUGGGCGUAAAGCGCACGUAGGCGGAUUGGUCAGUUAGGGGUGAAAUCCCAGAGCUCAACUCUGGAACUGCCUUUAAUACUGCCAGUCUCGAGUCCGGAAGAGGUAAGUGGAACUCCUAGUGUAGAGGUGGAAUUCGUAGAUAUUAGGAAGAACACCAGUGGCGAAGGCGGCUUACUGGUCCGGUACUGACGCUGAGGUGCGAAAGCGUGGGGAGCAAACAGA
rnacentral:rRNA from 1 species